UACGUAGGGUGCAAGCGUUGUCCGGAAUUAUUGGGCGUAAAGAGCUCGUAGGCGGUCUGUCACGUCUGCUGUGAAAACUCGGGGCUUAACCCCGGGCCUGCAGUGGGUACGGGCUGACUAGAGUGCGGUAGGGGAGACUGGAAUUCCUGGUGUAGCGGUGAAAUGCGCAGAUAUCAGGAGGAACACCGGUGGCGAAGGCGGGUCUCUGGGCCGUAACUGACGCUGAGGAGCGAAAGCGUGGGGAGCGAACAGG
rnacentral:rRNA from 1 species